CUACGUGCCAGCAGCCGCGGUAAUACGGAGGGUGCGAGCGUUAAUCGGAAUAACUGGGCGUAAAGGGCACGCAGGCGGUGACUUAAGUGAGGUGUGAAAGCCCCGGGCUUAACCUGGGAAUUGCAUUUCAUACUGGGUCGCUAGAGUACUUUAGGGAGGGGUAGAAUUCCACGUGUAGCGGUGAAAUGCGUAGAGAUGUGGAGGAAUACCGAAGGCGAAGGCAGCCCCUUGGGAAUGUACUGACGCUCAUGUGCGAAAGCGUGGGGAGCAAACAGGAUUAGAUACCCUGGUAGUCCACGCUGUAAACGCUGUCGAUUUGGGGAUUGGGCUUUAAGCUUGGUGCCCGUAGCUAACGUGAUAAAUCGACCGCCUGGGGAGUACGGCCGCAAGGUUAAAACUCAAAUGAAUUGACGGGGGCCCGCACAAGCGGUGGAGCAUGUGGUUUAAUUCGAUGCAACGCGAAGAACCUUACCUACUCUUGACAUCCAUGGAAUCCUGUAGAGAUACGGGAGUGCCUUCGGGA
rnacentral:rRNA from 1 species